rnacentral:rRNA from 1 species
AGAAUCAACGCUGGCGGCGUGCCUAACACAUGCAAGUCGCACGAGAAAGUGGAGCAAUCCACGAGUACAGUGGCGCACGGUGAGUAACACGUGACUUAUCUACCUCCGAGUGGGGAAUAACUGAGAGAAAUCUUAGCUAAUACCGCAUAACACUUACGAGUCAAAGCAGCAAUGCGCUUGGAGAGGAGGUCGCGGCCGAUUAGCUAGUUGGCGGGUAAUGGCCACCAAGGCGAUGAUCGGUA